rnacentral:misc_RNA from 1 species
UCUAAUUAUUGUGUGCCGAGUGGGCCGUCGGCUCCCUUGGAUUAUUCAUCGACGAAUGCGAUGAUUAGCUGUGGGAGCCAGCUCACCUGCACUGUGGGUGGUUUAAAUCAGGGUCAGGAAGAAGAGAGUAACUAUGAGAAGGAGAAAGUUACGGGUAGGGAUAAUCACUAUAACUGUGACUUUCCUACCUUUCUCUCGAUCAAUUGCUUCAAUACUCACCGCGAUAAUCACUAUAACUGUGACUUUC